CCGGACUGACCCUCACGGGGAACAGACAAUGCUGCUGUCUGCUGGGGAAGCACUUUCUACGUUUCCUUUCUUCCUUCAACGACCUCACCCGGUUCCCUCCUGCCCGGUGUCCCUCAUGGGAACAAGCCUCCCCCGCCCAGGCCUCCAGUCCCCCUGGAGCGCAGGCGCCCACGGAAGGGCGGCCACAUACCCACUCCAAGGACCCAGAGAUCCGGCCAGGCACGGCCCGGAGGAGCUGCGGUCACUGAUGGGCUUGGGGGGCAAACGGGCUGAAAUGCGGCAGUUCCAGGGGGCCUACCUCCAUGCACACAGGCUGUCACGGAGAGACACGCCAGCACACUUGUCAAAGA
rnacentral:lncRNA from 1 species